GAUGAACGCUGGCGGCGUGCUUAACACAUGCAAGUCGAACGGGAACAUUUUAUUGAAGCUUCGGCAGAUUUAGCUUGUUUCCAGUGGCGGACGGGUGAGUAACGCGUGGGUAACCUGCCCUCACACUGGGGGAUAACAGUCAGAAAUGACUGCUAAUACCGCAUAAGCGCACGGAACCGCAUGGUUUUGUGUGAAAAACUCCGGUAGGUGUGAGAUGGACCCGCGUUGGAUUAGCCAGUUGGCAGGGUAACGGCCUACCAAAGCGACGAUCCAUAGCCGGCCUGAGAGGGUGAACGGCCACAUUGGGACUGAGACACGGCCCAG
rnacentral:rRNA from 1 species